GAUCAACGGUCGAGCCGGGUUUCGCUCCGCGAAAAAACGCGAGUUUGAGUAUUAAUUAGCUUUGUUAGGCCGUUAAUUACUGCAUAAAUUUGUUCGCGUCGCGUCUCCCGACAUCGUGAUCGUAAUCGCGAGCGUGAGAUCGACCUCGCCGGCCGGGAAUCGCGAAUCCGCGGAAUCUCACUUUCGUUCCUCCGAAUGACCUUCGCGUGACGUCACAGUUCCCGACAGCCCCCGACUCGGGGUCCCGUCGAGUCGCCUGAAGUUCGCGCAGGCGAAGUUGAGAACGGCGGAUCGCGACAAGUGCCGGGCGCUUUCGACGCGAGAAUUUCCCGGGAUUUUCCGCGUUAUCGCUCGUAAUCCGUAAAGUUUCCGCUCGUACUUCCGCAUCGCCGUGUCGGAGUAUCGUUCCGCGACGAACUACGCACGUAAUUCUCGCGAAAAUCGCGAAGGUCAAAUACGAGUAGGACGACUCGGUCGUGCCGCCAUGUUUACAUGUUCCUCUUUAAGAAUCUUUCGUGAAUCGUCGAGUCGAAGAUAUUUAACAAGGAGUGAAGCACGUAUAUAUUUCGUAUAUUAUUGGAAUACGCGAGUGUACACGGUGUUUCGAAAAUGCUCCUUGUUUUGUGAAAUGCAGUGGAUAUAUAUUUUAAGUGCAGUGCCCCAUUCUGGAAUAUCGCCGCAUCAUCGUCGUUCGAUCGGGCCCUUCGAUAAGGGAUCUUGAGAAAAGCGGCGACGCGAAAACGGAGCAUCGGGUUUAUUCGUGCGCGAAUAAAAGCUCCCGCGAAUCUCGCGUUUUCAUAACGCGUCGAAAAUGUGACAAUUAAAAUCCGGGCGUCGCCGCACGUCGCGAACGAAAAAAAGUUUCGCGAGUGUAAGUGUUUCGAAGUGCAUCUACGACGAGGAGGAGGAAUCCUGGGGCUCAGGAUGGCAUCGGGCAACGACGAAGCAGCUAUUACGUUCACAACUCCGCUGCUGUACAUCGUAUCGGUAGUAUUGCGGUACACAAUGCGAUUCACGCGUCGUGUCGGGAGUGCCGUGUAAAAUUUUACAUAUCGGGAGUGCCGUGUAAAGUGUCGGACGAUCGUAAUUAUUCGUAUUUUCGCGAGUGUAAUUGCUACGAAGGACCACGAGAGGAGGAGGAGGCCGGGGAAGGCAUCAGGUGACAGCGGGGCAACUAUAAGAUCAACGUGCUGCGAACUACAACUCCGCUAUUGCUGCAUCGGUGCUGCAUCG